rfam:Leeuwenhoekiella marinoflava DSM 3653 genome assembly, contig: EJ63DRAFT_scaffold00006.6
GGUGGAAUCGACCCACCAGAAUCUGCUUAUAGGAGCUGGUUCUAAACCACUUUUCUGAUGCAUUCAAAGUAAUUUGUUUGUGUGAAGCGAGAGAAGAAAAGGCAGGCUAGAUUUGUCAGGU